CUUCCGCUCUCCCCGCACAGGAGAGUGGAUCGAGGUACCCGCGCUCUCUGCCCUGACCGCGCAGGCACCUCUCCCCGGCCGGGGGCACCGCACACCGCCGGCCGAACAGACCGUCCGUGAUGGCCGGUCUCAGACCGACCGGCAAUUGGGGGGUGGGUGAAGGAGC
rnacentral:ncRNA from 1 species